GACGAACGCUGGCGGCGUGCCUAAUACAUGCAAGUAGAACGCUGAAGAGAGGAGCUUGCUCCUCUUGGAUGAGUUGCGAACGGGUGAGUAACGCGUAGGUAACCUGCCUUGUAGCGGGGGAUAACUAUUGGAAACGAUAGCUAAUACCGCAUAACAAUGGAUGACACAUGUCAUUUAUUUGAAAGGGGCAAUUGCUCCACUACAAGAUGGACCUGCGUUGUAUUAGCUAGUAGGUGAGGUAACGGCUCACCUAGGCGACGAUACAUAGCCGACCUGAGAGGGUGAUCGGCCACACUGGGACUGAGACACGGCCCAGACUCCUACGGGAGGCAGCAGUAGGGAAUCUUCGGCAAUGGGGGCAACCCUGACCGAGCAACGCCGCGUGAGUGAAGAAGGUUUUCGGAUCGUAAAGCUCUGUUGUAAGUCAAGAACGAGUGUGAGAGUGGAAAGUUCACACUGUGACGGUAGCUUACCAGANAGGGACGGCUAACUGCGUGCCANCAGCCGCGGUAAUACGUAGGUCCCGAGCGUUGUCCGGAUUUAUUGGGCGUAAAGCGAGCGCAGGCGGUUUGAUAAGUCUGAAGUUAAAGGCUGUGGCUCAACCAUAGUUCGCUUUGGAAACUGUCAAACUUGAGUGCANAANGGGAGAGUGNAAUUCCAUGUGUAGCGGUGAAAUGCGUANAUAUAUGGAGGAACACCGGUGGCGAAAGCGGCUCUCUGGNNUGUANUGACGCUGAGGCUCGANNCGUGNNNAGCNNACANG
rnacentral:rRNA from 1 species